rnacentral:rRNA from 1 species
UUUUCUACUUGCCGUACGAUUCGCCUUAGAGUUUGAUCCUGGCUCAGAAUCAACGCUGGCGGCGCGCCUAACACAUGCAAGUCGAACGAGAAAGCAGGAGCAAUCUUGUGAGUAAAGUGGCGUACGGGUGAGUAACACGUGGAUCAUCUACCCUCUUGUGGGGGAUAACUCUGGGAAACCGGAGCUAAUACCGCAUAAGCUCGAGAGAGGAAAGCAGCAAUGCGCAGGAGGAGGAGUCCGCGGCCGAUUACGCUAGUUGGUAGGGUAAAAGCCUACCAAGGCUAAGAUCGGUAGCCGGCCUGAGAGGGCACACGGCCACACUGGCACUGAAACACGGGCCAGACUCCUACGGGAGGCAGCAGUGGGGAAUCUUGCACAAUGGGGGCAACCCUGAUGCAGCGACGCCGCGUGAGCGAUGAAGCCCUUCGGGGUGUAAAGCUCUUUCGGCAGGGAAGAUUAUGACGGUACCUGCAGAAGCAGCUGCGGCUAACUACGUGCCAGCAGCCGCGGUAAUACGUAGGCAGCAAGCGUUGUUCGGAGUUACUGGGCGUAAAGGGUGUGUAGGCGGUCCCCUAAGUUUGGUGUGAAAUCUCCCGGCUCAACUGGGAGGGCGCGCCGAAAACUGGGGGGCUAGAGUACUGGAUGGGAGAGUGGAAUUCCUGGUGUAGCGGUGAAAUGCGUAGAUAUCACGAGGAACACCUGUGGUGUAGACGGCUCUCUGGACAGUAACUGACGCUGAGACACGAAAGCGUGGGUAGCAACAGGAUUAGAUACCCUGGUAGUCCACGCCCUAACGAUGCAUAUUUGGUGUGGGCCAUUCAUUUGGUCGUGCCGAGCUACGCGCUAAUAUGCCGCCUGGGGAGUACGGUCGCACGCUGAACUCAAGAUUGACGGGGACCGACAGCAGUGGAGCAUGUCGUCCAUCGACUCACCCGAGACUAACUGGCUGUUCAGGUGUAGGCUGGAGAGAUCAGUGU